AAAUUAGUUUUAAAGCUUUAAUAUUGCAAAAAUUCCAAGGGGGAUAGCCACCGUGACGUCUGAAAAAAAGUAAUUUUCGGGAAUUUUUUUGAUCGGAAAAAUAGAGAAAUUUAGGGAUCAGAAUUUUUUUGUUCUAUUACAUGUACAUUGAAGAUUAAUAGCCCAAAUUUUUAUUGAGAAUUAUCAAAUCUUUACUAACAUCAAGUAAUUAAAGGGGUUUUCUGGUUUGACGCCUUGAUUUUUGAGCAUUUUUUUGGGAUUUUUUUGUAAAGACCAAUGAAGAGAUAGAAUUUUGAACAGUUUACCAUUUAUUUAUACAUAUUUCGAAAAUAUACAGUUGAAUUUUUAGCUAAAAACAUUCAGUAGAAUUAAGGUUGUUCGGACACUAAUGCACUUGUGAAUAUCAAAAGCUAAUUUUUUGAUAUGUUAUGAAUUGCUAUCUCAUACGUCUAAAUUAAUUUUUUGGAUUAGAUCUGACGAAAGAAUACGUUAAAAAUAAAAUGAAAAUUUUCUGACGAAA